AGAGUUUGAUCCUGGCUCAGGAUGAACGCUGGCGGUAUGCUUAACACAUGCAAGUCGAACGGAAUCUUUCGGGAUUUAGUGGCGGACGGGUGAGUAACGCGUGAGAAUCUAGCUUCAGGUUCGGGACAACCACUGGAAACGGUGGCUAAUACCGGAUGCGCCCUAGGGUAAAAGGUUAACUGCCUGAAGAUGAGCUCGCGUCUGAUUAGCUAGAUGGUGAGGUAACGGCUCACCAUGCCGACGACGGGUCGGGGGUCUGAGAGGAUGGCCCCCCACACUGGGACUGAGACACGGCCCAGACUCCUACGGGAGGCAGCAGCAAGGGAUUUUCCCCAAUGGGCGCAAGCCUGAGGGAGCAACGCCGCGUGGGGGACGACGGCCUUCGGGUUGUAAACCCCUUUUGCGGGGGACGAAACUGACGGUACCCCGCGAAGAAGCCUCGGCUAACUCCGUGCCAGCCGCCGCGGUAAUAC
rnacentral:rRNA from 1 species